rnacentral:tRNA from 2 species
AAUUAGAAAGCGAAUAAUUGCAUUUAGUUUCGACCUAAAUUUUGGUAGCUGUUACCUCUAAUUA